UACGUAGGGUGCAAGCGUUGUCCGGAAUUAUUGGGCGUAAAGAGCUUGUAGGCGGUUUGUCGCGCCUGCUGUGAAAUUUCGGGGCUCAACCCCGAACUUGCAGUGGGUACGGGCAGACUAGAGUGUGGUAGGGGAGACUGGAAUUCCUGGUGUAGCGGUGAAAUGCGCAGAUAUCAGGAGGAACACCGGUGGCGAAGGCGGAUCUCUGGGCCAUUACUGACGCUGAGGAGCGAAAGCGUGGGGAGCGAACAGG
rnacentral:rRNA from 1 species